rnacentral:rRNA from 1 species
UACGUAGGGUGCAAGCGUUGUCCGGAAUUAUUGGGCGUAAAGAGCUCGUAGGCGGUUUGUCGCGUCUGCUGUGAAAAUCCAGGGCUCAACCCUGGACCUGCAGUGGGUACGGGCAGACUAGAGUGCGGUAGGGGAGAUCGGAAUUCCGGGUGUAGCGGUGGAAUGCGUAGAGAUCCGGAAGAACACCGGUGGCGAAGGCGGUCUGCUGGGCCAACACUGACGCUGAGGCGCGACAGCGUGGGGAGCAAACAGGAU